UACGUAGGGUGCGAGCGUUAAUCGGAAUUACUGGGCGUAAAGCGUGCGCAGGCGGCUUUGCAAGACAGAUGUGAAAUCCCCGGGCUCAACCUGGGAACUGCAUUUGUGACUGCAUGGCUAGAGUACGGUAGAGGGGGAUGGAAUUCCGCGUGUAGCAGUGAAAUGCGUAGAUAUGCGGAGGAAUACCGAUGGCGAAGGCAAUCCCCUGGACCUGUACUGACGCUCAUGCACGAAAGCGUGGGGAGCAAACAGG
rnacentral:rRNA from 1 species